rnacentral:SRP_RNA from 1 species
UUUCGGGUAGCAUUUGACAAGCAAGUACCCAACCCCGUCAGGUCCGAAAGGAAGCAGCGGUCAGUAUUUUGUUUGGGUAAGUGCUUACCCGAUUUUU